rnacentral:lncRNA from 1 species
AUUCGUUGCAUAAGCCGCGAGAAGUCGAAGGGAUUGUUUUUUGUAUUAUUCUGUUUUCGACAGACAGAGAGGAUUCACAGGCAAGAUGGUGGACGCAGCGGCCUUGAUCAUCGGUGUCAUCCUGUUCGUGCUCCUCUCACCGGGGCUGCUGUUGCAGAUUCCUGGGGAUGAUCGCCCAAUCGAGUUCACCAACCAGCGGACAAGCAUAGCGUCCAUCGUGGUGCACGCCGUCGUCUUCACGCUGGUCUUCUACCUGUUGCAGCUCCUAUUCCACGUCCAUGGCGGAAUGUAGACCACCCUUGUUGCACAUCCCCAAGGUGUGCUUGUGUCCCUUACAGCCCUCGUUACCUUUGUAAAGUUACUUGAGAACACGGCUUCUUGGAUUCCAAUUCUCGUGCUGUUCCCAUGGCCACAAGUGCUUUUCUCUUUUGCAGCAAUUUGAUCCCUUACCACAGUUACUUUUUUCUUCUAGCUUACAAUGGGUGAUUCGUCAUACUGUGGUACUUCAGAAGUUGCUUUUGUAGCGGAUUUGUAUGCUCGUUUGUUUCUCCCUGAGCAUAGGAGAUUGAGGUUUUGUUUCUUUCUUUGUAGCAGGGAAGUGAAGGAACAGGAAAGCUACCGAGAUAUCUUCUGGAAUUUGGUGACUCGUGUGCUGUUAGUAAGUUGAUGACCUGUAGCUUUGUUCAGCCCACCAGUUUUUAGUGCUUGCGGAUAACG